GCGGCCGUAGUCUAGUCUGGUAGGACAUGACGUUGCCAACGUCAAAACUCGGGUUCAAAUCCCGACGGCCGCA
rnacentral:tRNA from 5 species